UAAAACUAAAGGUUUAUUUCUAACGUACAUCAUUGUUUUCCUGUCCAGACUUCAUCUCUCCCUUCUUUUCCAACCCUGGUUUUGUCCUAGAAAUCACUCUUCUUCCAUGUAGCCCAUGUGCUUUAGGGAAGGCUGACCUUACCACAGCUUCAGGAUGGGCCUGAUUAAUCCAAGAGUAACCUCAUCCUUGUAAGGAAUUGAUUCAGGAAUUUACACCACUGAGAUACCAGGAGAAGUUUGCUGGUGGAUUCUACUUCUGGGAGACCUACUGAAAAUGACCUUUUCUGUCUUUUACUAUAUGUUAUGGUGUGUGGGUGUGAGUCCUGAAACUGUUGCAGCCAUCUCACCCACCUAUUUGAGGAUUACGCUGAUGGCGAAAGAGAACAAAUCAAAGAAUGAGAGGAAGUUGGAGCAGAGCCACUAGAGUCAAAAGAAACAGAAUCUCCUUCUCCUGGAUACAUGAUACAACACAGUUGUCUGUCAUGUCAGAA
rnacentral:lncRNA from 1 species